AGUGUCGUUUCAGUCUCCAGGCUGUGACCAUCUAGCCGCUCUCUGCAACCAUUCCCUCAUUAAAGUAGUGAAAUAAAUAGUCAGCAUCAGUUAAUUACAAGGCUUGAUUUCACGUUACUCGGUGAUAAAGUAAUAACACGUACAUUGAAGUGAACGGAGAAGAGAGUUGAGUGGUAGUAGAAUUCACUGAUCCUGAAACUACUUCCUUUCUCCAGAAACAAUGCGACGCGUGCUUCUAAUUUCCCUAUCGUGUCUAGUUUGAUAGAUUCUAUGCGAUCCUUUUCUCGAGGAUCUAAAAUUUAAAUAGCUUCAAACUCCGAAUUGUUGAUAUAACAAUAACGAGUUAGUUGAUCCACAAUUUAUUGAUUCCAGACUUCUAGAAUAAAAGGAUGAAGAUCCCGACACCUGGCCUAUUCCCUACAGGUGACUAUAGGAAAGAUGGGUUGGCCCUUUUCACAAAGCUCAUUAGGACAAAGAAUGUGGAGGGCAUGCAAGGAGAGUUGCCUCCGCGACUUCAUGCCAAGUCUGAUAAGAAACUCAAAUUGAAGAAAUGCUUGACAACGUUAGAUUUAACGUCGCUUGGAGUGGGAUCCUGUGUCGGCACAGGAAUGUAUCUUGUAGCAGGAAUGGUGGCCAAAAACGUAGCUGGGCCAGGAGUUGUCAUAUCUUUCAUUAUAGCAGCCAUUGCCUCUAUUUUCUCUGGUGCCUGUUAUGCCGAGUUCGGAGUUCGCGUUCCACACACGACGGGCUCGGCCUAUAUGUACAGUUAUGUGACAGUAGGUGAAUUUGUAGCAUUUGUAAUUGGAUGGAACAUGGUGCUCGAAUACCUGAUAGGUACGUCGGCGUGCGCAUGCGCGUUGUCGGCCUGCUUUGAUGCGUUGACCGACGGCGCCAUCAGCAGUUUAGUCACCGAGUCCGUCGGAACUUUCUUUGGUCGGCCACCUGACUUUUUAGCGUUUGUGAUAACGCUGCUGAUGAUGCUGUUGAUGGCAGCCGGGGUGAAGAAGUCGCUGGUCUUCAACAACAUCCUGAACGCCAUUAACCUGUCAGCGUGGGUGUUCGUCAUGACAGCUGGCAUGUUCUACGUGAACACGGCCAACUGGUCAGAGCACAAGGGCUUCCUACCAUACGGCUGGUCCGGGGUGUUCACGGGAGCAGCGACUUGUUUCUAUGCCUUCAUUGGCUUCGACAUAAUCGCAACUACAGGCGAAGAAGCCAACAACCCGAAAAAAUCGAUACCACUAGCCAUAGUUACUAGCCUUAUUAUCAUUCUAAUUGCCUACGUCACCUCUUCCAUGAUGCUCACUCUUAUAGUGCCGUACGAGAAGGUGGACCAGGACUCGGCGCUGGUGGAGAUGUUCGGCCAGGUGGGCGCCUGGCGGUGCAAGCUGGUGGUGGCAGUGGGUGCGUUGGCUGGCCUGUCAGUGAGCAUGUUCGGCAGCAUGUUCCCCAUGCCUCGCAUCGUCUACGCCAUGGCUCAGGACGGCCUCAUCUUCCGCACCCUCGCCCAGGUGUUCCCUCUCACCGGCACCCCGGUCGUCGCCACCUUCGGCUCGGGCUUUGCCGCAGCCAUUGCCGCACUCCUCAUCAGCCUCGAAGUCCUCGUUGAAAUGAUGUCAAUCGGAACACUAUUGGCCUACACGCUGGUUUCAACUUGCGUUUUGAUACUACGGUACCAGCCACAUUCUACCAACUUGGUUGAUCUACUACCUGAAUCACUCAGAACACCAGUUAAAGGUUCUCCAUCGAAAGAGACGUUAUCUAAUGGACAGGUCAGUUAUGGGAAUCAGUUACACCCAGACCAGUUGAGAUCAGCACUGGGAGGGGUUCCAGCUCAGCAGCCCCCUGCUGGGCCACAACCAUCACCAGGACUGACCAGCACACUCACACAGCAGCAACAGCAGCAGCAGAGGAUCAUGGUUCGACGGGUCACUCGCAGCUCGCCGGAUUCAGAUGACACGUUCCCAGGGGAAGAGCCUGACGAGUUUUCGAUGCGUGACGACCAGUUCCUGGUGGCUGACCGCAGCGAGAACAAGUUCUACGGCACGGUGCACGGCGGCUCUAGUGCCGGAGGCGGCGGGGUUGCCGGUCCCACCUUAGGUGCUAUUGGUCGGCGUCUACAGGCAGUGACAUACCUGUGUCCAGCUAUCUUCCCAUGGGUUGAUAGUGGCCCAGCAACGGAAGACUCAGGGAUGUUUGUCAUGAAGAUGGUCGGCAUUCUGUACAUACUCAUUCUCAUAUUCGACCUGAUUAUAGUACUUGGAAUGGGUUCAGACUCUUCAAUAGUCACAUUCCUUGUCAUCUUCUUUCUGCUCUGCAUCAUUGCUCUCCUACUCAUCAUAUCAAGGAAGCCUCAAAAUAGGAAAACAUUGAUGUUUAUGACUCCGGGCAUCCCAUUUGUGCCAGCAAUUGCAGUCAUUGUGAAUAUCUACCUCAUUUUCAAACUCUCAAUUUUAACAUUGGUUCGCUUCACUGUAUGGAUGAUCAUAGGACUACUGGUUUACUUCUACUAUGGUAUCAAACACAGCUCUCUGGAAGAGGAAGAAGAUCCUCAGAAUAUUGAGUUAUCAGUGACAACGGAGAAGCCUCCUCCAGCACAGCAAACGGUGGACUCUGAGCGUGAGACGCCAGCUUGGGAUUCGGCCUCCUAUCACCAGCCACAACAGGCGUCAUCUCCCUACACCAGCAUACAACAGCCUCCCUCUUCCGGCUCCAAUAGAGCGCCUCUCUUUGUCUCUCCUCAGCAAUUCCCGACGUGGGAUGAUUAGAUUCAUCAUUUUUACCGUCAACGAAAAUUACGUUUUUUAGCCGCGGUUCGUUUUCUGUACAAUCAAAGAAUAAUUUGCUGAUGAAAUGAUGAACCUCAUGACGAAUGUACAAUUGGAUUUCUUCCAGCUUAUUCCAUUAAGUAGGUUUAAGUAGCUUUUCCUGUAAAUGGAGAUAGUGUGUUCUCGACACUUUUUUCUGGAAACUUACAAAUAGGAUUGAUGAUAUCAAUUAAUUUAGGAAUGAAACUCUUCCUCGAAUACUACUGAUUGAUACCCUGAAUACAUCUCACAAUCGUUAAAACACCGAAUAAUCUGUCAAAGGAAAACGAUCUGUAAUGGGAAAUUUACUUUUAAAAAUAAUUAUCUCCUGUUCAAUUGAAUCUCUGAUCUACUAUCACAAGUUCCCUUUCAUCCUUGAUUUUUUCCUAUUCCAAUAUGUAUUUAUUUAUUUAUUCGUGGAUACAAAUGUAAUUUAUUCGGGAUAUUGUACCCGUUUUAAUCAUACAUUGAAGUUAGAAGUCAAUACAGUAUUAAAUAUCAUCGUUUAAUGGAUACUUAGUGCUUUCAAUAUGCUUCUUGCUUGGAAGAAGAAUGGUGUCCUUAUUCAAUAGUAUCACUAUCAAUUCAUUUUGUAUAAAGAAACCAAUAAUGAAUAAGAUACUAUCCACAUCAUUCUAUAAAAUAAAUUUCAAUCCAAGCGAAUUGUUCUUAUUAGAAUGGUAAUUGGAGGUAGAUGACAUUUAUGGAGCAUUUAUAAUUAAAUAUAAAAGGGUGAACUGAAAAGCUGAAAGUGGAUAUUUCUACUGCUUACCGUAUUUUUUAUAUUUGGGAGAAUUGAAAAAGAAUCGAGAACUGAAUGUUCACACAAGAAAGUUCUCUGUUUCUUGAAACUUCAAGUAAAUUACAAAUUAUCGGAUUGACUUCUUCAUGCUUUAGAGAAGUCAACAUUGAAAUAUUGAUGAUCUAAUUUAACAUUAUUUGUACCAGAACGAUCAAUAGCUUCCAGUAGUUGUAGGGCCAUAGGUGUCUCAUUUUGUCUAUUCCAUGCUCCUCUUCUUCUGAUUCUUUGAUGAAAAUUUAUAUUGAAAUAUUCAUAUUGCAACAAAAACCAUUAAUUUGGUACUUUUGUUGAAUAUCAGGGGUUGAUUCGAUUGAGUUGAAACUGAAACAUGAUUAAUACAACAUCUCAAUUGAACUCAUUAUUUAUUAUAUGAAUUAAUUUCAUGAUAAUAAAACUGUCAACUGUCUCGAUUUGCAAGAUUAGACAUAAGUCUUUGAAGUACGAUAUUCUACUUGAUGUAUAGCCUGUUACUCUAUGUAUGGGAGGGAGAAAUUUUUUUGUAGUAGAAAGAGAUUAUUGAUAGGGGAAUAUUAUGUAAUAAAUUCAACAUCAAUGAAUUGUAAAUUGCUACUUAAUCAUAGAGUGUCACUCUUCCCACAAUGAUGGAUGAAUAUUUAUUCAACAUUCAUAAUGAAUAUUAUCAAACUAAAUUAAAGAGCCUAGUCGAUGAAUAGACUACGUACAACUAUAACAAAAAAUUAGAUUAAAAAUAUAUAUAUUGAGCUUUUAUUGCUAACUUUAGCUUCUAUCGCUAAAUCUUUUAAAGAUUUUUGAAGGAUUUCGAUGCAUAAACCAUUAAAAACUGUCUCAAAAUAUUCCUAUAGGUAUAGGCCUACUACAAUAUUGUACAUUUGUAUUAUUUUUGCUAUGAUGGACACUUCCAAUACUGUUAAUACUAUAUAAUUCACGUUAAAUUUUUCCCCCACUAAGUUACAAGUCAACUCCAGGUCCUGGAAACACAGAGAGCGAUCCGUGAUCUGCAAUAUUAGAGCAGUCUUGGGUACCGUAUCUAUAUCCAUAUGGAAUAUAUCUAUGGGCUAUCUAUAUCCUCCUAAAACCGCUAUGAUCGCCGAUCGCUCUCUGUGUGUCCGGACCCUUAGAUGAGAUUAAUAAAGUGAUUUCAGGAAGCAUAUAUAUCAUUUCUUUAACAUAAUAGUUUUCUUCUAGCACUCAUUUCAACAUUCCAUGCUAACACUACUCACUGGUGAAUUUCAGAGCAACUAUUUAUGUAUGUAUCGAUUUGUGCAUACAAUUACAAAUCAUAUGAACUAGUAGCAUAAAAUAAGAUGAUUCAACUCAAGCAUCAGCGAUGUAAUGCAUGAGGGAGUUAUACUCCUUUAAAUGGGGCUUUAAGAGUGCAUGAAGGGCCUACAAGCUACAAGUGACACCUUCUGGCAUUUUCUCUUUCUUAAACUAAAAUCUUCCCGCUCUAGUUAAUAAUAUACUCUUGCAAAUAUUCCGUCACUGUGUGAACAUUAUCAUGAGAAUCAAUUAUAUUAUUUUUGAAAAGGCCCAUGGGUCUAAUCCUUACAUCAAAUGGCAAAUGAAUAAGAACAUGAAUAGCUGUUAUAGUCACUUCAUCCACUUAGCUCUUAAAUUGGUUCAAAGUUCAAAAGAAUGUUUAGACUCGGUUGCUAGAUCUUUCGAGCCCCUUCUCUAGCUAUCAGCUAGUUAUCUGUCUACCUAUCUAUCUUGCUGACAUUACAGAUAAUAUAGAUAACAUGGAGUAAACAAGUGUGAAUACAGUACAUAGUUGCCUAUAUAGUUAUUGAGAAAAAAUAAUCGUUUUUCAGUAUUAAUAAUUGGUAUAUUAUUAGAAUUACUCGGUUGUAGAAUGAGAAUUUCAACUCUUAAGUUGACACUGAGAUUAUCAAUGUUCCAGUUGAACGUAGGAUCUAGUGAUAGUUUUUCUAUUUUGUUCCAUAGGAAAUAAUGUCUUAAUGUAAAGUUCAAAUCUUAAAUGUUUCCAUGUACAGUAAUGGAUGAGAUUUACUGUUCUUAAUGUACAUAGUUUUUUAAUAAUGUCGUUCCUUAUCAUGCAUAAUAUGCUAAUGUUAUACAACCACUUUACACUUUUCUCCUUCCAGGAAUAUCAAUCCCUUGAUGAAUUAUUAUCAGAAAUCUUCCAAAAAAUCAUUACAUUAUCAUGAAAAUGAUUAGGACACUGAGAUUUUCUUUGUAAAAGUCAAUCAUCACAUACUUUUAUUAUAAUAUUUAUCAUCUAAUCAUCUUCAUAGAUAUACUAAUUUUUCAAUUUCUAUUACAUUGAUAAGAAAACGCCUCGGUAAUGUAUAUAAUAAAUUGAUAUUCAUUCAAUUGGAUAGCAGAGUUAUUUAUAUAGCCGAAUACCAUGAUAUUCAGUUAAUUGCUGGUACAAUAUUAAUACAGCUUAUUGUUGGGAGAAUGAGCACAAAUAAGAAAAACUAUCAAUUAAAAUCUAUCAAUUUUAAUAAUAUGAUAGAAUCUAAUUAGUCUAGACAACAUGAUGAUAAGAUUCACAUGACUACUCGAAAAAUGACGAAUAGCUUGUUGUUACUGUUAUGAUUAUUGUUGAAUUGUUGGAACGGGCGAUGAAAAUCUGUUAAAAUUUUAUUAUGAAUAUAAAAUUAAUACGUUUAUCAUUAUUCUAUAAAUAAUAAUAUUAUUAGUCUUAAACAUUCAAAGAUACAUUUGAAGGUAUGUUAUUAAUAUGAACGCCAUUUAAAUAAUAUUCAUUGUUAUAAACAAUACCCACUAUAUAAUAUAAAGAUUACUGCACUAUUAUAAUAUACGGUAUAUAUUACAUUCUUCUGUGAUUUAUAAUAUAUCAAUAUUUUCUGUUGUUAAAUUUGUUCUUGGAUGAUACUCGAAAUGAAUUGUUCUAUUGGAUAGGAGUAGGUUAUCUUGAAUAAAAUAUGUAUAUUUAUAUUAUGCUCUAUGUAAAAUUAUAAGCAAUGAAUUUAGACGAGUCUAGAUAAUUAGCAGAGUAAAUAAUAUUGUUCAUUGACUGUGAUUCAACUAACUUAAACUAAUACUCAGUGGACUUAUUACCAUGGUUUCUUCUUUUAUAAGAUGAGUGUUGAGAGAAUGAGUUGUAGAAGCAUAUUAAAUACAGAGAAAAACAAGAAUAGAUUCGAUGAUUUGACUAGAAUUACAGUAUUUAUAGUAGUCUAAUGAAUCAUCAAAUUUCCAAAUCUAGCUCUAAAACCUGCGGGUUCAGUACAAGAUUGACUUCUCGGAUUGAUAAAAAAUACAUUUUUUCUAAUUCAUUCGUCAAGAGACGAAUUCAUUGGAAUCAUUCUUAUGAUUUAAUUAUACAUGAUAGAUUACAUGUAUACAUUUGAAUAAAAUUUAGAUAAAUGGCCAAUGAAUUUCGGGGCUAAUUAAUGUUUUGCCGUUCAUGUAUCAUGAUGUGAUAGAACAUUAUUCAGAUGUGAAAAAUAGUUAUGAUUAUUGAUUUCAUGAGAAAAGUAUUAUUUCAUUUAUACAUACAAGCACAAAUCAUAUACAAUCACAAGUAAAAAUAAAUGUUCUCCAACUUAAUACAGCAUUAAAAAUAUGAGUUGGGAAGCGUUAAAAAAUUGACACAUUUCUGUAUUUCUCAAAAUCCAUAUAAAAAUAAAUUCGGAAAAUUUGCUCCAGUGAUUUUAUUUUUCGUAAAAUGUUUCAUAGAUGAAUUGGAACCCAUGACCAGAUAUUCAUAACUUUCACGUUGGAUACCUUCUCAUUCAAUGAACCAUUAUUGUAUGAUGUAAAUGUUUUAGUAGAAGAAUAAUGAAAACAAUAGGCCUAUGUAACCCUUGACUCAAUUUCUGAUAUUGAAAUAAUCACCUCUUUAUCAUUGAAAUUCUCUAUGAAGAAUAUUAAAUGUUCUAAUGUUGAGAAGAGGUUCUCAACCUUUUUCAUAGCCCUUAAUUCCAAUUUCACGUAUCUUUUUUAUCAUAGUGUGGAGGGGUUUUAUUGUUGUGAUUUGUGGAUUGUAUUGAAUUUUUAACAUUUAGACUUCGCUACGUAUGCCCUCUUGAUUUUUGGCACCUAAGAGGAACGAGUACCCCAUAGUGGUCGAGAAUCACUUUUCUCUGUGAUGAAACUGAUUUCAUAGCUAAAUAUGAUCAGUGUGAUUGGUGUUGUCAUAGGACUCAGAAAAUUAUUACACCUACUGCAGAAUCGAUUUAGAACGAAAUGAAAAAUCGUAUUAUGCACUAGCUUAAUCAAGCAAACGAUAAAUGAAUUUCCAUGCAUGCCAAUUUUGUGUAAUGAGGGAACAGAAGCCUUUCUAUGCAUUUCUGAAUGGAGAUGAAUACUGACUUAUGAAUCAGUUGAGGGUCAUGCAUAAACUGUAUUCAAUUUAAUUCUACUUAACUAUUAGAAUAGGAUGCAAUAAUAUUGAGGUAGCAGCUCUCGUACUCAAGUUUAUUAUCUUAACACAGAUAUACAUUCGUUUUACAAAUUUUAUAAAGGAGUAAUAUUAUAUCUGUUUAUGGAUUACCGUACAUAGUUGAUAAAUAUAUUUGAUAAAUAAUAAUUGUGGUUUUUUGAAUUCAUCUCUUAAAUAUGUGUGAUAUUACUGGGGAAUAUGAUACUAUGAGUGAUAAUUCGCGUGGAAAUUGCCUACCAGUGGUUUGAUAGCCUGCCUAUUAUGAAUCUAUCAUGUUUAUAACAUGUAUCAAAUAGGAGCUUCUCUUUAUACCAAAAUGGGGGUUUCAUAUUAUAUAGAUUACAAAUAGAAAACAUCUAGCACCACCUUAUUACUUUCAAAACGCCGUAUCUUUACAGAAGUAUAACACUGAACAGGAAUAUCAUUCCACUGGUUUCAUGGAUGACAUCACUGUAAAUGUUGCAUAUUCAUAAUGAUAUUCGACUGCGAUACAUAUAAGAUGUCGUAGGCUAUAUAUUUUAAUAAGAACAUAUUGUUGUAACAUAAUGUAAAUCAGAAUUUUUAUCAGAUAUCUAUAUAGAGGAUAAGCAUAUAAUAUACAGUUAUAUUUCAUUGCAAUAAUGUGUCUAAAAAAGUAUCAAACUGAAAUUCAUCUUUCUCAUUUUACAAAAGGUUAGAGGAUGCUAUUUGUAUUAUGAAUGUCACUAGUAAAAUUGAUUUUUGCCUUAAUUCAUGUUUAAAUUGUAGAAUUUAUUGAAAUUUUCAUAGAAUCACAAAUAAUAUAAUAUAUUUAAUGAAAUAUACAACUGUGGAAUAAUGAA
rnacentral:misc_RNA from 1 species